rnacentral:lncRNA from 1 species
GAAAAUCUAAACAGAGGGAGGAGAAAUUAGGAGUUUGAAAGGUGCAUGCAGUUUUGCCCACAUACUUCAUCUACCAGUUCCCCUUUCAGUCCCAACUUCUAAAAACAAGACUGAUCUUUUCUUUUGGACCAUGGUCAAGAAGUAUGAUGUCCAAUAAAACAUGAUUUACUUAGGAGCUGCACUGGGCUCCUGUCCCUGGGUGCUGCCCAUCUACUUUGUGUCUGUGUGCUCUUGCCUUCCAUGUGCAUAAACCUCAUGGCCAAUGGGGUUUUGAUUCCAGCAUGCUUAUCAGCACCAAUGCCAAUGGCAAUCUCCAAGCAGUGGACAAAGCUAAAGUAAUGCUGUCAAUGCAUAGUCUGUGAUCAGUAACCUUGCACAAUAGUGAUAUGUUCUGAAUGGCUGUUUGUUUUUAAUGGAAUAAAGCUACAGUAGGAAGAAAUUGUCAGGAACUUUAAUUUGCCACCACUUGAGUAUUUCAUUCCUCUAUGCAAUGACAAAAGUGCCUGGUGAUGGAUUCUGUUGUGGCUAUUUUUUGGUGCUGUACUGCCUCAUUUGUAUCUUCAGGUCUCCCAGUAAUGGAUAAGAAUUCACAGACUUUUAUCCUCAUCAUACUCUUAGGUAGGGAAACAGUAAUAUUCCUGUUUCACAGAUGCAAGACCAAGGCACUAAUGAGGAAAAGUCUAGAUCCAGUAGUUUCAAUAGCUUGCAAUUAAUAACUUAAGAUCAAAGAUGCUCUUCCCCAGACUACACUACUUUGCUAUUCUAUUUUGGAGGCAGCUAUGAAGUAUUCCCCAGAGCUCAGCUGCUGAAGUGCAAAGCCCCAAGAUAUCUUGGUGCUGUGUUGCUGGUCCUGUCAACACCGGUCUACACUCAGAUGAUGUUCCAGAAAAUAAUUUUUAACCCUCCCCCACAGCCUGUUGGCUAAGGGAUGUAACUUCUUGCCUGCUCUAUCAUCUUGUGCAUUGUGCUUCAGCUCAGUGGCCUGUUUUUGCAGCAAGGGGAUGUUAUCCUGUGCUACCGUGACCACCAGCAUUUGGGGAGAUGGAAGCUGCAUUUAAGGAUUCUGCCAGGCAAAAGAGAGAAGUGACCCUGGACCCUUCAGUUCAUAGAGAGCUGGUUGGCACUUACUUUGGUUGGCCCAAAGGAAAUACAAUCAAGUGUGUGUGAAAGAGCAAGCACUGGGUCACAGCUCCGAGAGCAGCAGUAAGAAGCACUCUUUCUCUGCAAAGCAAGGGGCUUAUGGGCAAAAUACAGCCAUUCUCAGACAGCUCAAUGAAACACACACAACCUGAACAAAAAGUAAGUAUUCCAUUCAACUUGUGAAUGCUUGUGAAAUUUAUUUUUUGCUAGCUUUUACAGUCCACAGCCUUCUCAUUCAAUCUUGAAUAAUAGCUUUGAAUUGAGCUGUAAAAGCUUCCGAAGUUUGAAGUCUUUUGACAAGUUAAUUUAGCUGUAUGGUAAAAAGUUUUUCCCGCAGAUAGAAUAAAGACAUCGUAUCAUGAAUGUAGUCGUCAUCCAAGGGAAAGAAAACACCAUUAGGAUAAGAAGUGAUGGGCUUUAUGGAGAUAGUUUGUGGUUUAGUGUAAUCUACUAUCAAUAUUUCAGUAGAGAAGUAUUCUACUUGUCAUUCAGCUGCAAGUCAAUAUCUUCACUUAAAACCAACACCCAGGGGCCAGACUGCAUAUCUAUUCUUAUUGAAAAAGCAACUUGUUGCUUUUUGUCAGUUUUCCUUUUCUUUUUUUUGUUCCUCACGGUUAUUUCUACUUUAA